rnacentral:rRNA from 1 species
AAGACCUUGCACUUUUGGAGCGGCCGAUGUCUGAUUAGCUAGUUGGUGGGGUAAUGGCCUACCAAAGCUUCGAUCAGUAGCUGGUCUGAGAGGACGGCCAGCCACACUGGGACUGAGACACGGCCCAGACUCCUACGGGAGGCAGCAGUGGGGAAUUUUGGACAAUGGGCGCAAGCCUGAUCCAGCCAUGCCGCGUGAGUGAAGAAGGCCUUCGGGUCGUAAAGCUCUUUCAGCCGGGAAGAAAAGGUUGCGACUAAUAAUCGCAAUUCAUGACGGUACCGAAAGAAGAAGCACCGGCUAACUACGUGCCAGCAGCCGCGGUAAUACGUAGGGUGCGAGCGUUAAUCGGAAUUACUGGGCGUAAAGGGUGCGCAGGCGGUUUUGUAAGUCAGAUGUGAAAUCCCCGGGCUUAACCUGGGAACU